rfam:Glossina morsitans morsitans, isolate Yale, WGS project CCAG01000000 data, contig: ctg10015406
CAAUCGGUCCUUUUCAGGACCACAAUGUUUUUCAUAAAAAAAAUAU